GUUGAGGGGGGUGAGAGGACAGACGAGAGGAAAGCAAGACGGGGCCCAUCUUGCCAUUGAUCUUGAGGCGAUCAAGCCCUUGGUCCGUGUUGUUGAGCUUCACGCGGCGGAUGUGUGCCGGUGUGUGAGUGCUCUCGGGGACCCUUCAAGAGGGACGCACACUUGAGACAUAUCGAUGGAUGGAUGCCGGCGUAUCCCACCUGGAGUUUUGACCGCUGGCGUUCCCAGAUGAGCCAAUCACAUCGUGCGCCUCUCCCUGUGCAACGUUGCGGAUGCACCCGUCGGCCAAUGGGGAGCUGAUCUGAGACCAGGAGAGACUCGCUGAGAAUCCUCCCACCAAGCUGGAAAAACGGAUUAUUGACUGUUGCAUUCAUGUGGGAUCAGGUCCACAACUGGGAAAUGUCAUUCGAACAGUUCUUUAAGUCGGAUAAACAUUUGAGAACACUUGGGAAGCGGUUUCCGUUGGCGGCGACGUCCCAUUGGCUCGUCUGGCCGAAGCAGGACGACAUGAAGGGGGACGCGGUUUAUUUCUUCUUCCCAGGAGCUCGUAGUUUACACUGAAAUGGAGUGAGGAUAUUCAUCCACAUUUCUUUCUUUUCUUCCACUUUUUUGGCUUUUUUUGUGGAAACGAGUUCAAAACAAAGAUUGUCCCGCCUCUGAACCCGGAGCCUCAAAUGCACCGUUAGCAUCGAGCGGCCGGUUGGACGCCUGUUUUCAGCCGCCCGGAGGACCCCGAGGUUUUGGCUGUGUGACUCAGCUCCGAUGGGGGCCGUUCGCGACCCGGUUUGACCUUGCGGUGACCUUUGACCUCUCCGGUCCUGGCUCUCCACCUGCUCUGCUGCCUGGGUUCAGGAACGCUCCGCCCUGGGGCCCAGAACGAGCCAAUCAGGAUGAAGAAGAGCCGCAGCGUGCUGUCUGUGACCGGA